rfam:Stegodyphus mimosarum contig51810, whole genome shotgun sequence.
GCCUUCGUGGUGUAGUGGUCAGCACGCUCGGCGCGUAUUCGAGAGGUCCAUGGUUCGAGUCCCGGCGAGGGCA